rnacentral:rRNA from 1 species
UAACGCGAAAAGGACUUACCAGCUCUUGACAUUCGGGGUUUGGGCAGUGGAGACAUUGUCCUUCAGUUAGGCUGGCCCCAGAACAGGUGCUGCAUGGCUGUCGUCAGCUCGUGUCGUGAGAUGUUGGGUUAAGUCCCGCAACGAGCGCAACCCUCGCCCUUAGUUGCCAGCAUUUAGUUGGGCACUCUAAGGGGACUGCCGGUGAUAAGCCGAGAGGAAGGUGGGGAUGACGUCAAGUCCUCAUGGCCCUUACGGGCUGGGCUACACACGUGCUACAAUGGUGGUGACAGUGGGCAGCGAGACAGCGAUGUCGAGCUAAUCUCCAAAAGCCAUCUCRGUUCGGAUUGCACUCUGCAACUCGAGUGCAUGAAGUUGGAAUCGCUAGUAAUCGCAGAUCAGCMUGC